AUUGAACGCUGGCGGCAUGCCUUACACAUGCAAGUCGAACGGCAGCGCGGGGCAACCUGGCGGCGAGUGGCGAACGGGUGAGUAAUAUAUCGGAACAUACCCUAGAGUGGGGGAUAACGUAGCGAAAGUUACGCUAAUACCGCAUACGCACUAAGGUGGAAAGUGGGGGAUCUUCGGACCUCAUGCUCAUGGAGUGGCCGAUAUCUGAUUAGCUAGUUGGUGAGGUAAAGGCUCACCAAGGCGACGAUCAGUAGCUGGUUUGAGAGAACGACCAGCCACACUGGAACUGAGACACGGUCCAGACUCCUACGGGAGGCAGCAGUGGGGAAUUUUGGACAAUGGGGGGCAACCCUGAUCCAGCAAUGCCGCGUGAAUGAAGAAGGCC
rnacentral:rRNA from 1 species